UCCUACGGGACGCAGCAGUGGGGGAUAUUGCACAAUGGGGGGAACCCUGAUGCAGCGACGCCGCGUGGGUGAAGGAGCGUUUCGGCGCGUAAAGCCCUAUCGGCAGGGGAGAAGAUGACGGUACCUGACCAAGAAGCCCCGGCUAACUACGUGCCAGCAGCCGCGGUAAUACGUAGGGGGCAAGCGUUAUCCGGAUUUACUGGGUGUAAAGGGGGCGCAGACGGCAAUGCAAGCCAGGAGUGAAAGCCCGGGGCCCAACCCCGGGACUGCGCUUGGAACUGCAUGGCUGG
rnacentral:rRNA from 1 species